GUCCAGACUCCUACGGGAGGCAGCAGUGGGGGAUAUUGCACAAUGGGGGAAACCCUGAUGCAGCGACGCCGCGUGAGUGAAGAAGUAUUUCGGUAUGUAAAGCUCUAUCAGCAGGGAAGAAAAUGACGGUACCUGACUAAGAAGCCCCGGCUAACUACGUGCCAGCAGCCGCGGUAAUACGUAGGGGGCAAGCGUUAUCCGGAUUUACUGGGUGUAAAGGGAGCGUAGACGGUGAUGCAAGUCAGAAGUGAAAGCCCGCGGCUCAACUGCGGGACUGCUUUUGAAACUGUAUGACUGGAGUGCAGGAGAGGUAAGCGGAAUUCCUAGUGUAGCGGUGAAAUGCGUAGAUAUCAGGAGGAACACCGGUGGCGAAGGCGGCCUGCUGGACUGCAACUGACGUUGAGGCCCGAAAGCGUGGGGAGCAAACAGGAUUAGAUACCCUUGUA
rnacentral:rRNA from 1 species